rnacentral:rRNA from 1 species
GGUUGAUCCUGCCAGUAGUCAUAUGCUUGUCUCAAAGAUUAAGCCAUGCAUGUCUAAGUAUAAACCGCUUGGCCGCAAGGUCAAAACGGGUGAAACUGCGAAUGGCUCAUUAAAUCAGCAAUCGUUUACUUGAUUGUGUGCUAUUAUGGAGUUGGCUGAGGGGUUCGCCUUUUAGUCAAAGCUAUUAUGGCUGUAUGGAUAACCGUGGUAAUUCAAGAGCUAAUACAUUAUUAACAAGAGGUUAACUUUUCGCAAGAGAGGAAGGCCUGCAUUUAUUAGAUACAAUUGCAAAA